CACAUGCAAGUCGAGCGGGGGAGAUUGCUUCGGUAACUGACCUAGCGGCGGACGGGUGAGUAAUACUUAGGAAUCUGCCUAUUAAUGGGGGACAACAUCUCGAAAGGGAUGCUAAUACCGCAUACGCCCUACGGGGGAAAGCAGGGGAUCACUUGUGACCUUGCGUUAAUAGAUGAGCCUAAGUCGGAUUAGCUAGUUGGUGGGGUAAAGGCCUACCAAGGCGACGAUCUGUAGCGGGUCUGAGAGGAUGAUCCGCCACACUGGGACUGAGACACGGCCCAGACUCCUACGGGAGGCAGCAGUGGGGAAUAUUGGACAAUGGGGGGAACCCUGAUCCAGCCAUGCCGCGUGUGUGAAGAAGGCCUUAUGGUUGUAAAGCACUUUAAGCGAGGAGGAGGCUCUUGUAGUUAAUACCUACGAUGAGUGGACGUUACUCGCAGAAUAAGCACCGGCUAACUCUGUGCCAGCAGCCGCGGUAAUACAGAGGGUGCGAGCGUUAAUCGGAUUUACUGGGCGUAAAGCGUGCGUAGGCGGCUUUUUAAGUCGGAUGUGAAAUCCCCGAGCUUAACUUGGGAAUUGCAUUCGAUACUGGGAAGCUAGAGUAUGGGAGAGGAUGGUAGAAUUCCAGGUGUAGCGGUGAAAUGCGUAGAGAUCUGGAGGAAUACCGAUGGCGAAGGCAGCCAUCUGGCCUAAUACUGACGCUGAGGUACGAAAGCAUGGGGAGCAAACAGGAUUAGAUACCCUGGUAGUCCAUGCCGUAAACGAUGUCUACUAGCCGUUGGGGCCUUUGAGGCUUUAGUGGCGCAGCUAACGCGAUAAGUAGACCGCCUGGGGAGUACGGUCGCAAGACUAAAACUCAAAUGAAUUGACGGGGGCCCGCACAAGCGGUGGAGCAUGUGGUUUAAUUCGAUGCAACGCGAAGAACCUUACCUGGUCUUGACAUAGUAAGAACUUUCCAGAGAUGGAUUGGUGCCUUCGGGAACUUACAUACAGGUGCUGCAUGGCUGUCGUCAGCUCGUGUCGUGAGAUGUUGGGUUAAGUCCCGCAACGAGCGCAACCCUUUUCCUUAUUUGCCAGCACUUCGGGUGGGAACUUUAAGGAUACUGCCAGUGACAAACUGGAGGAAGGCGGGGACGACGUCAAGUCAUCAUGGCCCUUACGACCAGGGCUACACACGUGCUACAAUGGUCGGUACAAAGGGUUGCUACCUA
rnacentral:rRNA from 1 species